GUAUGCUUGGUAAAAGUCAUCGCCAUUCUCUAAUCUUGAGUACCCAGGGACACGAUACACUGCGGAAGGCUGCAGGGACCUCUGCCCAGGAAAGCCAGGCUUGCAUGAAGGAAAUGAUUUCCUAUGAUUCUGCUUACUGCUUAAAAAAAUUAAUCAAGUUUUCUGCCUGACAAAACAAGCCCUGUGAAAAACAAGCUGCUGUCCCUGCUAGAGGCAUCCUGCAAUCCAUGGAUGUUUAUCACCAAGCCAUUGUUAACAUGAGGUGGUUUCCAAAAGGAAAAGCUUUGGGAGAUAGAAGUCCUCGUUUUGACCUCUGCCCUCCUUGUACACCAGGAGCCAGAAAAACUUCAUCUCUUUUACAAGAAACAUUGAGAUUCCUGUAAAAUUAAGAAAUCACACAAUUUGAUGGUCUACAUUAUCUAAAGCAAAUGAGACUUCUAUUUGGAACAAAGACUACCUUGUUGGGAAAUGAGUCUGCAAGUUAAAGUGUUUUCUGUUUUCUAAGGAUAAUGGUCUCCAGCUUCGUCAAUGUUCCUGCAAAGGACAUGAUGCUGACUUUGAAGAUGCAAGCUUCCACAUCUACAGCCUCAAGGAAACAAAUUCAGCCAACCAACUGAGGGAGCUUUCCUUGUCCUGCCUCAAGAUGAGAUCACAGUCUGCCCAACACCAUGAUUUAGGCCUUGUGACACCUGGUAUGGAAGACCCAGUUAAGUUCUCUCCAAACUCUUGACCCACAGAACCUGUGAGAAAAUAUAUGGAUAUUAUUUUAAACUGCUAAAUUUGUAGUAAUUUGUUAUGCAGCAAUAAAAAAAACUAAUGCAAGGAGAUAUCAAUUAUUGUAAAAAGCUUAGCUUUUGUUUUAAAAUAUAGUUCACCAGUAGUAAGUUACUAAUAAGUAACUAAACAAAUAAAAGCAAGCCAUUUACAAAUCAA
rnacentral:lncRNA from 1 species